GGCGACGUCGCCAAGUGGUAAGGCAAGGGUCUGCAAAACCCUUAUACGUGGGUUCAAAUCCCACCGUCGCCU
rnacentral:tRNA from 1 species